rnacentral:misc_RNA from 1 species
UCCGGUUUGUCACCGGCAGUCAUUCUAGAGUGCCCACCCGAAGUGCUGGCAACUAAAAUCAAGGGUUGCGCUCGUUGCGGGACUUAACCCAACAUCUCACGACACGAGCUGACGACAACCAUGCACCACCUGUCUCCUCUGUCCCGAAGGCCUGGCCUAUCUCUAGGCCAUUCAAAGGGAUGUCAAGACCUGGUAAGGUUCUUCGCGUUGCUUCGAAUUAAACCACAUACUCCACUGCUUGUGCGGGUCCCCGUCAAUUCCUUUGAGUUUCAGUCUUGCGACCGUACUCCCCAGGCGGAGUGCUUAUUGUGUUGACUUCGGCACCAAGGGUAUCGAAACCCCUGACACCUAGCACUCAUCGUUUACGGCGUGGACUAC